GUGCGCUCCUUCUUUCCCACGAGUAGCAACUCCGUGUAUGACUGUUUGUUCCUUAGUUGACUGUCUCCCUCUUCCCACCUUUAUCGGCAGUUUCCCGAGAAACAAACACCGAAACACUAGUUUAAGAUCUAGUUCUCCCAAGAAACUAAUCUUAAAAUUAACUUUUCCAAAAACCCAGAUCGAAUCUUCAAUCAAAUUUCCCCCAUGACAACACAUCAUCAUCCAUUAAAAGCCGUGACUUUAACCCAUGUAAGGUAUCAAAGAGGUGACCGACUAGGCCAUUUCUUAGCCUGGGUUUCUUUAGUCCCCGUUUUCAUUUCCCUCGGUGGCUUCGUUUCUCAUUUUAUCUUCCGUAGAGAGCUUCAAGGCAUGUUCUUUGCAUUAGGGCUAUUAAUAUCUCAGUUCAUUAAUGAACUCAUCAAAAAAUCCGUUCAACAAGCCAGGCCUGAAACCUGUGCUCUUUUAGAAAUGUGUGAUUCUCAUGGUUGGCCUUCUAGUCACUCUCAAUAUAUGUUCUUCUUUGCUGUUUAUUACUCCCUUUUGACAUGUAAAGGGAUUGGUGGGAUUUGGAAAGUUAGAACCAAGUGGGCUGCUUUGUUUUUGCCUUGGUCUCUGGCUGUUUUCACUAUGUAUUCCAGGGUUUAUUUGGGUUACCAUACUGUGGCUCAGGUUUUUGCUGGAGCUGCUUUGGGGAUUUUUCUUGGUGGGGUUUGGUUUUGGGUGGUGAAUUCUAAGCUUUUCUGUUAUUUCCCUCUGAUUGAAGAGAGUGCCUUUGGGAGGUUUUUUUAUGUUAAGGAUACUUCUCAUAUAUCAGAUGUGUUGAAGUUUGAAUAUGAUAACGCAAGAGCUGCUAGGAAAGGUAUGGCUGCCAGAAAAGCUAUGGCUUCCAAGAGCAAUUGAUUAAUAGGAACUAAUCAGGGAAGUUAUCAAGGGUGGAACGGGUGGUCAAUGGACCUGGCUAUGUUCAAAGGUACCUAUGGCAUGCUCAUAUGAGAAGUGUGAUUUUUAGAAGGAUGGAGCAAUAAGAACAAUGUGAAAUGAUUAUACUUACUGUGAUGGGCCAUGGUUAGCAGGAUGACAAAACAGAGGAGCUCUAGUCAAUAGUUUCAUUUGGUGCAAUAACUCAAUUAGAACCCAAUUGGAAAGGUGGAACUUUUUAUAUAUUGAGUUACUCUUAAAACACUGCAGCAGGAAAAUGGACUUAUGUUCUGAGAAGAAAUUUCAGGUUGGAAUUUGAUGCAGAAAUACGACAUUGCAGCAUGGUAGCAAAAUGGCUUGUCCAGUUGGUUCUGGUGGUUUGGACACUCUAACUAUGAUGACAUGGAGGUCAGUAUCUUCACCUCAGUGCUUCAAGACUCUGCAUCUAUGCCUAUGGAUGAUUCAAUUAUUAAGUGAAUGCUGAUCACAUCCCACUACUGCAUGAGAAGCCAGAUGAGAGCUUCAGUGUUAAGGAUGCUGUAUUUUAUUUAAAAGAGCAUGCUGCUGUUUCCUUUUUUUUUUCUAGUGGUUGUGCCACAGUGAAAGAACCAUAGUACAGAACAUAGAUCAUUUACAGCCUUAUUGGUUUUUGGUUUGACAGGUGCUAACUUGCAUCUAAUGAAAGAUUUGCAAUAUUUUGUUGUUGACUCUUGAAAUAUGGAGUUUAUUUCUAUCAUCAUUGGAUUUACUUGGUCUAAUUCCAUAGUUUUCUUAUUCAGCUUGGCGUGUUAACAUCUGAAAAUUGUGGUUGGUUGUUACUCAAUUAAACCGCG